GACGAACGCUGGCGGCGUGCUUAACACAUGCAAGUCGAGCGGUAAGGCCCUUUCGGGGGUACACGAGCGGCGAACGGGUGAGUAACGCGUGGGUGACCUGCCCUCAGCUCUGGGAUAAGCCUGGGAAACUGGGUCUAAUACUGGAUAUGACUCCACGGUGCAUGUCGUGGGGUGGAAAGCCUUGUGCGGCUGAGGAUGGGCCCGCGGCCUAUCAGCUUGUUGGUGGGGUGANGGCCUACCAAGGCGACGACGGGUAGCCGGCCUGAGAGGGCGACCGGCCACACUGGGACUGAGACACGGCCCAGACUCCUACGGGAGGCAGCAGUGGGGAAUCUUGCGCAAUGGGCGAAAGCCUGACGCAGCGACGCCGCGUGAGGGAUGACGGCCU
rnacentral:rRNA from 1 species